rnacentral:rRNA from 1 species
AAAGCGCGCGUAGGUGGUUUGUUAAGUUGGAUGUGAAAUCCCCGGGCUCAACCUGGGAACUGCAUCCAAAACUGGCAAGCUAGAGUAUGGUAGAGGGUGGUGGAAUUUCCUGUGUAGCGGUGAAAUGCGUAGAUAUAGGAAGGAACACCAGUGGCGAAGGCGACCACCUGGACUGAUACUGACACUGAGGUGCGAAAGCGUGGGGAGCAAACAGGAUUAGAUACCCGGGU